rnacentral:rRNA from 1 species
UACAGAGGUCUCAAGCGUUGUUCGGAAUUACUGGGCGUAAAGGGCUCGUAGGCGGCCCACUAAGUCCGACGUGAAAUCCCCAGGCUUAACUUGGGAACUGCGUCGGAUACUGGUGGGCUUGAAUCCGGGAGAGGGAUGCGGAAUUCCAGGUGUAGCGGUGAAAUGCGUAGAUAUCUGGAGGAACACCGGUGGCGAAGGCGGCAUCCUGGACCGGCAUUGACGCUGAGUGAGCGAAAGCCAGGGGAGCAAACGGG